AAUGAACGCUGGCGGCAGGCCUAACACAUGCAAGUCGAACGGGUCCUUCGGGACUAGUGGCGGACGGGUGAGUAACGCGUGGGAACGUGCCCUUUGCUACGGAAUAGCCUCUGGAAACGGAGAGUAAUACCGUAUGUGCCCUUUGGGAGAAAGAUUUAUCGGCAAAGGAUCGGCCCGCGUUGGAUUAGGUAGUUGGUGGGGUAAUGGCCUACCAAGCCGACGAUCCAUAGCUGGUUUGAGAGGAUGAUCAGCCACACUGGGACUGAGACACGGCCCAGACUCCUACGGGAGGCAGCAGUGGGGAAUUUUAGACAAUGGGGGAAACCCUGAUCUAGCCAUGCCGCGUGAUCGAUGAAGGCCUUAGGGUUGUAAAGAUCUUUCAGGUGGGAAGAUAAUGACGGUACCACCAGAAGAAGCCCCGGCUAACUCCGUGCCAGCCGCCGCGGUAA
rnacentral:rRNA from 1 species